rnacentral:rRNA from 1 species
UACGUAGGUGGCAAGCGUUGUCCGGAUUUAUUGGGUUUAAAGGGUGCGUAGGCGGCUUAUUAAGUCAGUGGUGAAAUACUCUAGCUCAACUAGAGGGGUGCCAUUGAUACUGAUGAGCUUGAGUACAGAUGAGGUAGGCGGAAUUGACGGUGUAGCGGUGAAAUGCUUAGAUAUCGAUCAAGAACACCUAUAGCGAAGGCAGCUUACUAGGCUGUAACUGACGCUGAGGCACGAAAGUGUGGGGAUCAAACAGG